rnacentral:rRNA from 1 species
UACGUAGGGGCCGAGCGUUGUCCGGAGUUAUUGGGCGUAAAGCGCGCGCAGGCGGCCUCGCGCGCCCGACGUGAAAGCCCCCCGGCUUAACCGGGGAGGGUCGUUGGGGACGGCGGGGCUUGAGGGCGGGAGAGGUCGGUGGAAUUCCCGGUGUAGUGGUGAAAUGCGUAGAGAUCGGGAGGAACACCUGUGGCGAAGGCGGCCGACUGGGCCGACCCUGACGCUGAGGCGCGAAGGCGUGGGGGAGCGAACAGG